UGGGCUGUAGCUCAGGGGUAGGGCACUUAUCUAGCAGGUGUGAGGCUCUGGGUUGCAUCCCCAGCAGCACAA
rnacentral:tRNA from 1 species